GUUUGUCUACUGGUCUUACAUGAACAUUCUCCAGUCUGAGGUCAGUAUGUGCCAUUCGAAGGCUAUGCAGACAAAUUAUCUGCAUAAAGCAAGACACACAAGCUAAAAUUACAGAAGGGGUAAAGAGAAAUUUGUGUAUUAGUAUUUAAGAGAUUCCUCCCUUAUGCAUGAUUCAGAAAAGUAUAGUGUGGAAUGCCAUUAUAUUUUCUCAUCAGCCAAUAAUAAAAAAGGGAAACUAUACCCGGAAUUGGAAUGAGUACGAUCUCGCUUAUCUCAGCAAACAAAGAUAAAACUAAACGAAAAGAUGCUCAAGGCUUGGCCUCAGUGGGUCCAUCACCAAAACAUUGUAAUCACCCUCUCUACACCAAACCACCUGACAUUUGGAAUCCCAUCUGUAGAACGAAAGGGAAUGUCAGUUGAUUCCUUUAUCAAUAAACAAGAGACUGGAGUAAGCAAGAGCAAGGAAGUGAAAAGAAAACCCAUAUAUUACUUCCUCCAUGAAGUAUUCUGUAUAAGUUUGACUCGUACAAAAAACUGUAGAUGCUUUCCCUUACAUGGGAUUGCCUAGCUAGAUAGUACUGGUCCUCCUUGCUCGUCUCAAUCAAGAACGCAAAGCAAAUAACCAUAACAAAGAAAUAUUUAUGGCACAUAUAAAAGGCUGGGCAAGAACAUUCAAAGAAAGGCUGGUGUUAUUUUCUUGAGAUAGAAUCCAUCUGCAUCCCUUCUUCGGCUAGUUAAUAGAAACACUGAACUACAAAUAGUCAAAAGAGUAACCUGAAGCACUUCAUUUUCACAAGCAGCCUCCAAGGUCUAAAUUGCUAGGGUUCUUGUUUGAUAUUUUGUUGAAGUGGAACCUAAGAUAACAUUACAAGAACAUAUGUAGAAGAUAAAACUAAAUCACAUCUGGAAAGGUCUGGAGAAAUCUCAGGAGAAAUUCAAUGAUAUUAGCAAGAAAGAAUACCUAGAGGAAGCACUUGUUUGUCACAUGCAAUUCUUAUUCCAACCAUCCCUUCAUCCAGCGCAGCUGGAUGAAUCCAU
rnacentral:lncRNA from 1 species